rnacentral:rRNA from 1 species
AGAGUUUGAUCCUGGCUCAGGAUGAACGCUAGCUACAGGCUUAACACAUGCAAGUCGAGGGGCAGCAUGGUCUUAGCUUGCUAAGGCCGAUGGCGACCGGCGCACGGGUGAGUAACACGUAUCCAACCUGCCGUCUACUCUUGGACAGCCUUCUGAAAGGAAGAUUAAUACAAGAUGGCAUCAUGAGUCCGCAUGUUCACAUGAUUAAAGGUAUUCCGGUAGACGAUGGGGAUGCGUUCCAUUAGAUAGUAGGCGGGGUAACGGCCCACCUAGUCUUCGAUGGAUAGGGGUUCUGAGAGGAAGGUCCCCCACAUUGGAACUGAGACACGGUCCAAACUCCUACGGGAGGCAGCAGUGAGGAAUAUUGGUCAAUGGGCGAGAGCCUGAACCAGCCAAGUAGCGUGAAGGAUGACUGCCCUAUGGGUUGUAAACUUCUUUUAUAAAGGAAUAAAGUCGGGUAUGGAUACCCGUUUGCAUGUACUUUAUGAAUAAGGAUCGGCUAACUCCGUGCCAGCAGCCGCGGUAAUACGGAGGAUCCGAGCGUUAUCCGGAUUUAUUGGGUUUAAAGGGAGCGUAGAUGGAUGUUUAAGUCAGUUGUGAAAGUUUGCGGCUCAACCGUAAAAUUGCAGUUGAUACUGGAUAUCUUGAGUGCAGUUGAGGCAGGCGGAAUUCGUGGUGUAGCGGUGAAAUGCUUAGAUAUCACGAAGAACUCCGAUUGCGAAGGCAGCCUGCUAAGCUGCAACUGACAUUGAGGCUCGAAAGUGUGGGUAUCAAACAGGAUUAGAUACCCUGGUAGUCCACACGGUAAACGAUGAAUACUCGCUGUUUGCGAUAUACUGCAAGCGGCCAAGCGAAAGCGUUAAGUAUUCCACCUGGGGAGUACGCCGGCAACGGUGAAACUCAAAGGAAUUGACGGGGGCCCGCACAAGCGGAGGAACAUGUGGUUUAAUUCGAUGAUACGCGAGGAACCUUACCCGGGCUU